rnacentral:rRNA from 1 species
UACGUAGGGUGCAAGCGUUGUCCGGAAUUAUUGGGCGUAAAGAGCUCGUAGGCGGCUUGUCGCGUCGUCCGUGAAAACCCAUGGCUCAACUGUGGGCUUGCGGUCGAUACGGGCAGGCUAGAGUUCGGUAGGGGAGACUGGAAUUCCUGGUGUAGCGGUGAAAUGCGCAGAUAUCAGGAGGAAUACCGGUGGCGAAGGCGGGUCUCUGGGCCGAUACUGACGCUGAGGAGCGAAAGCGUGGGGAGCGAACAGG